GGAAAGAGAGCCUCAAAGAUCUCUGCUGCAGCAAAGAGAUUUCAGACCAGCAGCCUGGUUAACUAAAGACAGUCCUCAGCUGGCAGUCUUCAGUUGAUUUCCUCUCUCUCAAUGCUGUUUUCUUUCUAACCAUUGUAGAGAGAUGCUUAGGAGAUGUCCUAUGCUCUGUCUAACAAGCCUUCUCAGAACAGCUUAGAUCUCCAUCAGCAACUAAAACUCAAACCACCAGGUGAUUACAUUUGUCAUUGUUAAGUAGUUAGGUUAAAUUCAAAACUUGUAAGUGCAAGUUCUUUCCUAGAUUUUAGGUUUAUCUAGAAUUGUGGGUUAUGAAGAGAGUGCUGAAGGGGAGAUACAUAGGAAAAACAAAGGGCUAUAAAAGGAUGUAACCAUCCCAUUGCUGAGGGCUACAGCAUCCAACUUCUAGGUGUUAUGCCAUCUAGUCAAGUCCACAGCAUCAAGCUUGGUAUCUAGGCAUGAUGAGAAUUAACACCUACAAUUAAGAUGCACAAAAGGCAGCGUGCUGAGCAGGGAAACUAUGUAAUUCAGCCAAAAGGGAACCUUGAGGAAAUGGAUGCAUCUUAAGCUGAUCCACUUCAGGACAUUAGAUGUUUUACUUUGGGCUGUAAAGCAUGUCUACAUCCUAGAUGCAUCUUGAAAACGGCCCCAGAAAUAGGUCAGCAGCUGCCAGAAGAUAAGCCGUCCCGCAUUGCCUUUAUCCAAUAGCUCAUGGUUAGAAUAGCCAUGCAGCAUAUACAAACUGAAUUCACUUCUGUCCUUUGCCUGAAGGCAGUUGAACUCAUAUCUGCACCUCCACAGGGAAUACAUUCAAGGCCUUCUGCUGAAUCUGUUCCACCUGAAGACUCAUGAAACUGAAAAGGCUCCAUACUCUUUCCUCUGGAAGCACAGUGUAGAAAAACAAAUGGAUUCAAGUAGCCUGAGCCAGCACAAGAGUUUCAGUUUGCUGCUAGCAUCAUUAUUCAUGCUUUCAGCUUUGGAGAAUCAAGAUGCAAGCAUUCAAGAUAUUAUGUGUGAAUGUCUACCAGAAAAAUAAAGAAGUCAAGAGGGUCAAUCUGAGUGGAUUAAAAAUGUCUGUUUCUCUUUAAAGGAUUAACAGAUAUAUAAUGUGGCACCUGUGCUAGUUUCACAUGCCAGUAGUCUAGUACAGGGGUGGGCCAUAUGGAGGAGUUGAGGCUGCCUAGACCUUCCAUCUCCCCUUUAAACCACUGAAAUGGUAUACAAAGGCCAGACUGAAUCCGAACAUUCAGUACCUCAAUGACUGAAUGUUUUAUUUAACCUUGGUUAUCCAUCAUUUCUUGAUUGAAAUCUUUUGAGUCUGGCAAAAAAUGUGUGUGAAGCAAAAGUAUUAGCACAAAAAGGAUGAAGAGGUAUUAUUGUACUCUAGAGGAAAAUGAAAAAAGAAGAAGAAACCAACUGUUUGAAAUGUUAAGCAAAUCACUUUGUUACACUAGGGUUAUGUUAACUGGAACUUUUGAAAUUGGGUCA